UAGUGAUCAGGGACCAGGCCUCUACAGCCUGGAUUGGGAAGAUGCAAUCCAUAAUGAAAAGAUCAGUGGAGAAAUGGAAGCCUGAAAGUAGGACAUAAUCAGGAACACGGCCAGAAUUGUGUCCAGAAAGGUGAAUUAAGGAAAAAACAUUAUUUUUAGAGGCUUAAUACAUGUGAUGAAGGAGGAAGCUGAGGAAGAGAAAGAGCAGGAGCACAAGAGGAUAAGGAAUGGAAGGAGGCUUUUCUGAAGACCAUUCAGGAUCAAGUGUCUUGCUUCUGGAAAAUGCAUUAUGAGCAAAAGUAAUGUGCAUUUUUAUGAGCUGGGGUACUUAAAUGUUGACUCAAGACACUUCAGAGUUCUCUUUUCUUUGGUACAUCAACCAUCAAGUUCCAAGACGGUGGUUGCUCUAUCAGCCAGGAUCCACGAAUGACUGAUGAAUACAGCUCUUCUGCGAAUGGAAGUACAGCAUGAGGGAGAAAUGAACCUUUCUUAUUUAAAUGCUCGAGA